GAUAAUCUAAAGUUAAUUAAUUUUUGCCUCUUCUGUUAGAGAAUUGAGUUAACAACUGAUACUCCGCUGUGUCCAAAAUGAAACAAAUUAUAUAUAUUUCCAUGGUGGAAAUAAGCAGAUCUUCUAACAUGGUAAGGAAAUGUCCUUUGACAUAAACUUCAGCAAUGCUGUGAGAAGAAUAUACGUAAGAGGGAAGACCCAAAUGUAAACCUUUCUUUUUACAGUGCGAGUACCCUAAUCCUGGAUGCUGAGCAGAUUCAUUCAGUUUCUCAAAGAGGAAAAUUAUUGUGUGGAGGAACUGAUUUCUCAGUUUAUCAGUUGUUUAACUCAACAGAAAUUGUAAAGAGCCAUGGGGAUAAUCUUAGGUGUCUGAGGAUUUGUAUCUACAGUUCUAUGUAAAGCAGAACUGCAGCUUCAAGACCCCAUACUGCUGAGCAGGGGUCAAUAUCACAAACAGGAGGAUGGAAGGUAUUCCAGCAAAGUUUCACCAAAUAGAACUGGGGACUCCUGGAGGUGGCUAUUAGGCAAGGAAGGAUAAUAAAGGUUAACAGUUCCCAGACCCCAGCUAUACACUGCGGAUUCUCAAUCAUAUUACUGCUGAUGUACACUCCUUCUGUACCACUUUAAGGGUUAUAUUUUAAAGGUAAUGUUCUAGAAUGCUGUGGUAAAUAUAUAUGAGGAAAAAUGCAACCAUUUAUGUAAUAAACUCAAGGCAGGUUUUGAAGGAGGUUGAAGCAAGAGUAUGAAAUAAUAAAACACUUAGAGACUUAUUCUUUGAUGCUUUGCCCUUGUGAGGGAAUUGCCUGUUCUGCAAGUGUAUAAUAAAACAGAAGUAGCCGGGACUGUGUGAGGUAAAAUGCAUAAAAGGGAGAACAGCUUGUAAAGGAAAUAAAUCUUGGCGCUUUACUGAAGACCAUUUAAAUGUUUAUUAUGUAUUUAUUUAUUAAAGAUUGCCAAAGUCUGCUGAGAGUGGGGUAUAAUAAGCAUCUCCAGAUGCUCCUUACUAGAGCAACUCCAAACAUAUAACAACUUCUGAUAAAUCCUAAAAACAAUUUAAGGCGGGCUGUAAUGAACUCAGGUCUUAGAAGAGGUGACCACAGUAAGAAAUAGACAACAUACACAUUUCUAUGAAAAGGGUAGUAGUAAAUGCAACAGUGUUUCUCACAUGAAAUUAACUAAAACAGUAUAUCCUUCUAGUACUUUUUAUAAAGGUACAUGCUACA
rnacentral:lncRNA from 1 species